rnacentral:rRNA from 1 species
ACGCUCGACACCUACGGGAAGCAGCAGUGGGGGAUAUUGCACAAUGGGGGAAACCCUGAUGCAGGAACGCCGCGUGAGGGAAGACGGUUUUCGGAUUGUAAACCUCUGUCAUCGGUGACGAUAAUGACGGUAUCCGAUGAGGAAGCUCCGGCUAACUACGUGCCCGCAGCCGCGGUAAUCUGAGCGGGCUGGCAAGGC